GAUGAAGAACGUAGCGAAAUGCGAUAAGUAGUGUGAAUUGCAAAUUCAGUGAAUCAUCGAGUCUUUGAACGCACAUUGCGCCCCCUGGUAUUCCGGGGGGCAUGCCUGUCCGAGCGUCAUUGCUGCCCUCAAGCACGGCUUGUGUGUUGGGCCCCGUCCUCCGAUCCCGGGGGACGGGCCCGAAAGGCAGCGGCGGCACCGCGUCCGGUCCUCGAGCGUAUGGGGCUUUGUCACCCGCUCUGUAGGCCCGGCCGGCGCUUGCCGAUCAACCCAAAUUUUUAUCCAGGUUGACCUCGGAUCAGGUAGGGAUACCCGCUGAACUUAAGCAUAUCAAUAAGCGGAGGA
rnacentral:misc_RNA from 1 species